rnacentral:rRNA from 1 species
AAACGUAGGGGGCGAGCGUUGUCCGGAAUUACUGGGCGUAAAGCGCGUGUAGGCGGGUUUAUAAGUCGGGUGUGAAAACCCUGGGCUCAACCCAGGGACUGCAUCCGAAACUGUAGAUCUUGAGGGCGGGAGAGGAAAGUGGAAUUCCUAGUGUAGCGGUGAAAUGCGUAGAUAUUAGGAGGAACACCAGUGGCGAAGGCGGCUUUCUGGCCCGAACCUGACGCUGAGACGCGAAAGCGUGGGGAGCAAACAGGAUUAGAUACCCUGGUAGUCCACGCCGUAAACGAUGGGCACUAGGUGUAGGAGGUAUCGACCCCUUCUGUGCCGCAGCUAACGCAUUAAGUGCCCCGCCUGGGGAGUACGGCCGCAAGGUUGAA